rnacentral:rRNA from 1 species
UGCGCAGGUGGGCUUGUAAGUCAGUGGUGAAAUACUGCCGCGUAACGGUAGAACUGCCAUUGAUACUGCGAGUCUUGAGUAUGGUUGAGGUAGGCGGAAUGUGUUGUGUAGCGGUGAAAUGCAUAGAUAUGACACAGAACGCCGAUUGCGAAGGCAGCUUACUAAGCCAUUACUGACGCUGAGGCACGAAAGCGUGGGGAGCGAACAGGAUUAGAUACCCUGGUAGUCC